CCUACGGGUGGCUGCAGUGGGGAAUAUUGCACAAUGGGGGAAACCCUGAUCCAGCGACGCCGCGUGAGUGAAGAAGUAAUUCGGUAUGUAAAGCUCUAUCAGCAGGGAAGAAAAUGACGGUACCUGAGUACGAAGCGCCGGCUAACUACGUGCCAGCAGCGGCGGUAAUACGGAGGACGCGAGCGUUAUCCGGAUUUAUUGGGUUGAAAGGGUGCGUAGGCGGAAUGCCAAGUCAGCGGUAAAAUCGCGGGGCUCAACCUCGCUCCGCCGUUGAAACUGGCGUUCUUGAGUGGGCGAGAAGUAUGCGGAAUGCGUGGUGUAGCGGUGAAAUGCAUAGAUAUCACGCAGAACUCCGAUUGCGAAGGCAGCAUACCGGCGCCCAACUGACGCUGAAGCACGAAAGCGUGGGUAUCGAACAGGAUUAGAUACCCGAGUAGUC
rnacentral:rRNA from 1 species